GACGAACGCUGGCGGCGUGCUUAACACAUGCAAGUCGAGCGGAAAGGCCCUUCGGUUUACUCGAGCGGCGAACGGGUGAGUAACACGGUAGUAACCUGCCCCAGACUUUGGGAUAACCCUCGGAAACGGGGGCUAAUACCGUAUACGACACAGCUUCGCAUGGGGUCUGGGUGGAAAGUUGUUCGGUGUGGGUUGGGCUCGCGGCCUAUCAGCUUGUUGGUGGGGUGAUGGCCUACCAAGGCGACGACGGGUAGCCGGCCUGAGAGGGCGACCGGCCACACUGGGACUGAGACACGGCCCAGACUCCUACGGGAGGCAGCAGUGGGGAAUAUUGCACAAUGGGCGGAAGCCUGAUGCAGCGACGCCGCGUGAGGGAUGACGGCCUUCGGGUUGUAAACCUAUUUCAGCAGGGACGAAGCGUAAGUGACGGUACCUGCAGAAGAAGCGCCGGCCAACUACGUG
rnacentral:rRNA from 1 species